UAGUCCACGCCGUAAACGAUGGAUACUAGCUGUUCGGACUUCGGUCUGAGUGGCCCAGCGAAAGUGAUAAGUAUCCCACCUGGGGAGUACGUUCGCAAGAAUGAAACUCAAAGGAAUUGACGGGGGCCCGCACAAGCGGUGGAGCAUGUGGUUUAAUUCGAUGAUACGCGAGGAACCUUACCAGGGCUUAAAUGUAUAGUGACAGGGAUAGAGAUAUCCUUUUCUUCGGACACUUUACAAGGUGCUGCAUGGUUGUCGUCAGCUCGUGCCGUGAGGUGUCAGGUUAAGUCCUAUAACGAGCGCAACCCCUGUUGUUAGUUGCCAGCACAUUAUGGUGGGAACUCUAACAAGACUGCCGGUGCAAACCGUGAGGAAGGUGGGGAUGACGUCAAAUCAUCACGGCCCUUACGUCCUGGGGCUACACACGUGCUACAAUGGGCAUCUACAAAGGGGCAGCGAUACCGCGAGGUUGAGCAAAUCCCAAAAAAGAU
rnacentral:rRNA from 1 species